rnacentral:rRNA from 1 species
CGGUUUCUUAAGUCUGAUGUGAAAUCCCCCGGCUCAACCUGGGAGGUGUCAUUGGAAACUGGCGAGCUUGAGUGCUGAAGAGGAGAGUGGAAUUCCACGUGUAGCGGUGAAAUGCGUAGAGAUGUGGAGGAACACCGGUGGCGAAGGCGACUCUCUGGACUGUAACUGACGCUCAGGAGCGAAAGCGUGGGGAGCGAACAGGAUUAGAUACCCUGGUAGUCCACGCCGUAAACGAUGACUGCUUGGAGGUUGGGGGCUUCAGGCCCGUAUUGCUGAGCCUAAGGCAUUAGUCAAUCGGCCGGGGAAGUACGGCCCCAAGACUGAACUUCAAUGGAUUUGACGGGGGCCCGCCCAACCGGGGAACCUGGUGGUUUAUUUCAUGCCACCGCGAAAAACCUUACUACGCCUGGACUUCCUCUGACUU